rnacentral:rRNA from 1 species
GAUGAACGCUGGCGGCGUGCCUAAUACAUGCAAGUCGAGCGAACAGACGAGAGUGCUUGCACUCUCUGACGUUAGCGGCGGACGGGUGAGUAACACGUGGGUAACCUACCUAUAAGACUGGGAUAACUUCGGGAAACCGGAGCUAAUACCGGAUAAUAUUUAGCUUCGCAUGACGCAAUAGUGAAAGACGGUUCUGCUGUCACUUAUAGAUGGACCCGCGGUGUAUUAGCUAGUUGGUGAGGUAACGGCUCACCAAGGCAACGAUACAUAGCCGACCUGAGAGGGGGAUCGGCCACACUGGGACUGAGACACGGCCCAGACUCCUACGGGAGGCAGCAGUAGGGAAUCUUCCGCAAUGGACGAAAGUCUGACGGAGCAAUGCCGCGUGAGUGAAGAAGGUUUUCGGAUCGUAAAACUCUGUUGUAAGGGAAGAACAAGUACGUUAGUAACUGAACGUACCUUGACGGUACCUUACCAGAAAGCCACGGCUAACUACGUG